UACGAAGGGGGCUAGCGUUGCUCGGAAUCACUGGGCGUAAAGCGCACGUAGGCGGACUCUUAAGUCAGGGGUGAAAUCCUGGAGCUCAACUCCAGAACUGCCUUUGAUACUGGGAGUCUUGAGUUCGGGAGAGGUGAGUGGAACUGCGAGUGUAGAGGUGAAAUUCGUAGAUAUUCGCAAGAACACCAGUGGCGAAGGCGGCUCACUGGCCCGAUACUGACGCUGAGGUGCGAAAGCGUGGGGAGCAAACAGG
rnacentral:rRNA from 2 species